rnacentral:rRNA from 1 species
CCUACGGGAGGCAGCCGUGAUUCAUCUUUUUCACUUUUCUUUCUCCUGAACCAGCCAAGCCGCGUGAAGGAAGAAGGCGCCAGGCGUCGUAAACUUCUUUUGUCGGGGAACAAAGGGCGCCACGCGUGGCGUUGUGAGUGUACCCGAAGAAAAAGCAUCGGCUAACUCCGUGCCAGCAGCCGCGGUAAUACGGAGGAUGCGAGCGUUAUCCGGAUUUAUUGGGUUUAAAGGGUGCGUAGGCGGUCCGGAAAGUCAGCGGUAAAAGCACGGGGCUCAACCCCGGCGAGCCGUUGAAACUGUCGGCC